GGAAUUUUCUUCCCUUCCUUCCUUCAGGGCUUGAACUAACCUCUAAUUUCGCCAUGGACCGUCACAGUUUUAGCCACGAGAAAGGGGUUUCUGCAACUUUGGUUAUUAUUACUCUUUAGGUUGGUGCAGUGGGAGAGGCCUGGGGAGCAGGGAACAGCCUUGUAUGAUGUAGAAGUCACAGAAAUAGCAGCAACAACACAAGUGUCAUAGCUGGUCUCACAUACACUUGUCAUCCUCUUGCUCUCAACAAAAAUGUUCAAAGACAACAGUAAUUCCAGUUAUUCUACUUUGGGGAUAUUCUGCAAGAGUCUGCAAGAGAAACCAAAACAGGGUUUAUUUUGUCGACUGUGUACUGGUGGUGCGGUCCUUGAUUUUUUAGCAUUGUACAUUCAAAACCAUUAGUGAUUCCCCUCCUCAAUUUUUCCCUCUCAGAGUAGAUGAUUUUAUUCUGGCUUCUUCAAUGAAUUAUUUUGAUUACUUUGUACUUGUUGCCAUUUGGGCAUUGAGGAUGCGUAGGCUCUUGUCAUAUUUUUGCACAUGCUAAGUUUUUAUUAGAAACUUGUUUAAAAUAUAAACAUGAUCAUACUAUGUCACAUGAUUUUUUUCAAAGACAAAUUUAGUCAUGUAUUAACAGAGUAGCCUAUGUUUGUUGCUGAACUUUAUUUAGCUAUAGUCUGCUACUUCAUAUUAACA